GACAUGUAGCGGUCCCCUGUGUUGCCCAUGGCCAACUACCUGAUUAGCGGAGGCAUGUUCUAUGUGCUGGAUGACGGACUCACAGCACAGCAGCUCUUCAUCUGUGGGGAUGGCCUCACCUACAACGAUUUUCUCAUUCUCCCUGGGUACAUCGACUUCACUGCAGACCAGGUGGACCUGACCUCGGCUUUGACCAAAAAGAUAACUCUGAAGACCCCGUUGGUUUCCUCCCCCAUGGACACAGUCACAGAGGCUGGGAUGGCCAUAGCAAUGGCACUCACAGGAGGUAUUGGCUUCAUACACCACAACUGUACACCUGAAUUCCAGUCCAGUGAAGUUCGAAAAGUGAAGAAAUACGCGCAGGGACUCAUCACAGACCCUGUGGUUUUCAGCAUCAAGGAUCAUGUGCGGGCCAAGGCCUGACAUGGUUUCUGUGGUAUCCCAAUCACAGACACAAGCCAGAUGGGUAGCCGCUUGGUGGGCAUCCUCUCCUCAAGAGACAUUGAUUUUCUCAGGGAGGAGGAACAUGACUUUCCUGGAAGAGAUCAUGACAAAGAGGGAAGACUUGGUGGUAGCUCCUGCAGGCAUCACACUGCAGGAAGCAAACGAAAUUCUGCAGUGCAGCAAGAAGGGUAAGUUGCCCGUUGUAAGUGAAGACAACAAGCUGGUGGCCACCAUUGCCUGGACAGACCUGAAGAAGAACUGGGAUUACCCACUGGCCUCUAAAGACGCCAAGAAACAGCUGCUGUGUGGGGCAGCCAUUGGCACUCAUGAGGAUGACAAGUCCAGGCUAGACUUGUUUGCCCAGGCUGGUAUGGAUGUAGUGGUUUUGAACUUUUCCCAGGGAAACUCCAUCUUCCAGAUCAAUAUGAUCAAGUACAUCAAAGAGAAAUGCCCCAAUCUCCAAGUCAUUGGAGGCAAUGUGGUCACAUUGCAGUACUUCUUCUCCGAUGGGAUCUGGCUAAAGAAAUAUUGUGGUAUGGGUUCUCUUGAUACCAUGGAUAAGCACUUCAGUAGCCAGAACCGAUAUUUCAGUGAAGCUGACAAAAUCAAAGUGGCUCAGGGUAUGUCUAGGGCUGUGCAGGACAAAGGAUCCAUCCACAAAUUUGUUCCCUACCUGAUUGCUGGCAUCCAACACUCCUGCCAGGACAUUGGUGCCAAGAGCUUGACCCAAGUCCGAGCCAUGAUGUACUCUGGGGAGCUUAAGUUUGAGAAAAGAAUCAUCAGCUCAGGUGGAAGGUGGUGUCCACCACAGUCUCCAUUUGUAUGA